rnacentral:tRNA from 1 species
GGGGACGUAGCCUAGCAUAGAAGGAAGCAAACCAAUGCUUCCGCUCUAGAAAGGCAUGGCGACAGGCUCCAGACCUGUAGAUCGCCGGUUCAAGUCCGGCCGUCCCCACCA